UACGAAGGUGGCAAGCGUUGUCCGGAUUUACUGGGCGGAAAGAGCGCGCAGGCGGUCGGCCAAGUCGAGUGUGAAAGCCCCCGGCUCAACUGGGGAGGGUCAUUCGAUACUGGUCGACUCGAAGGCAGGAGAGGGAAGCGGAAUUCCCGGUGUAGUGGUGAAAUGCGUAGAUAUCGGGAGGAACACCAAUGGCGAAGGCAGCUCGCUGGGACGUGACUGACGCUGAGACGCGAAAGCGUGGGGAGCAAACAGG
rnacentral:rRNA from 1 species